CGGCGCUGAUGAUUCUGGACAUUUUUCCGUGUUGUCAAUAAUGACUUUAAUGAUCUGCAAAUUGAUUUAUAGUCGAAAAACGGAAACAUCAUUGCCUACUCAGUAAGACUACUGGGAUAUUAUGGUUCAGGUUUAUGUUUUUUAUGUUCGGUGGAUUUACUUUUGAAGGCCUAAAUAAUAUUAUUGUAGUUUCAAAAAACAUUCAGGGAGGAUAUAGUUCUGCAGCCUCGCAAGCAUCAACUGUUUGCAGAUACCUCUGGGCCACAGCAAAUCUCCCAACGGCCUCGGCUGUGACAAUAUUUUGGUUGAAAAUAAGUCAUAGGAGAAAUCCGUUUGAUUCUGGGGUACAACUCAGAAUCUUGCAUUGCCUUGGGUGAGAACACAGAGGAGGAAGAUAGAGAGCUGCCAUCUGCCUCCGUGUUAACUGCUGGGAAUGCUGACCUCUGCCGGC
ensembl:lncRNA